ensembl:lncRNA novel transcript
CACCUCCUGGGUUCAUGCCAUUCUCCUGCCUCAGCCUCCCGACUACUCAGGAGUCUGAGUGGGAGGAUCACCUAAGCGCAGGAAUUUGAGGCUACAGUGAGAUGUGAUCAUUCCACUGCACUCCAGCCUGAAAGACAGAGCAAGACCUUAUCUCUAAAAAUUUAAAACAAACCAACCAACCCAGAAUUUAUAUUAGAAUAGAUUUUCUCAUUUUAGAGAGAUUUAUUAGAGAGAAGGAAAAGCAAGCAUUUAACAUUCCACCCUACUGUGUAGGAGUUUCAAAUCUCCUUCCCUAGAGAGGUAGAGGGAAGACCACAGGACCCAAACAAGUGCCCUUUCCCUUCUGUGCGGCCAGGGAGGGGUUCCCAGCAGGUGGGUGCUGCUUUUUCCAAGGCCUCUUCUUUUUAUUGUUAUGCCUGUAUAUUUCAAAAUCUAAAACCAGACGUUAAUGUAGAAAACAUUUCGAUACAGGUAUUGGCACAUGCAUACAUGCGCAUGCCUAUUCAUCCUGACCUGCUCCAAGCCAUCC